AAACUUUCAACAACGGAUCUCUUGGUUCUGGCAUCGAUGAAAACGCACGAAAUGCGAUAAGUAAUGUGAAUUGCAAAUUCAUGAAUCAUCAAUCUUUGAACGCACAUUGCGCCCGCCAGUAUUCUGGCGGGCAUGCCUGUCCGAGCGUCAUUU
rnacentral:rRNA from 1 species